rnacentral:rRNA from 1 species
UACGUAGGGUGCAAGCGUUUGUCCGGAAUUAUUGGGCGUAAAGAGCUCGUAGGCGGUUUGUCGCGUCUGCUGUGAAAACUCACAGCUUAACUGUGGGCGUGCGGGCGAUACGGGCAGACUGGAGUACUGCAGGGGAGACUGGAAUUCCUGGUGUAGCGGUGGAAUGCGCAGAUAUCAGGAGGAACACCGGUGGCGAAGGCGGGUCUCUGGGCCAUUACUGACGCUGAGGACGAAAGCGUGGGGAGCAACAGGAUUAGAACCUACGUA